rnacentral:rRNA from 1 species
GACGAACGCUGGCGGCGUGCUUAACACAUGCAAGUCGAACGGAAAGGCCCUGCUUUUGUGGGGUGCUCGAGUGGCGAACGGGUGAGUAACACGUGAGUAACCUGCCCUUGACUUUGGGAUAACUUCAGGAAACUGGGGCUAAUACCGGAUAGGAGCUCCUGCUGCAUGGUGGGGGUUGGAAAGAUUCGGCGGUUGGGGAUGGACUCGCGGCUUAUCAGCUUGUUGGUGGGGUAGUGGCUUACCAAGGCUUUGACGGGUAGCCGGCCUGGGAGGGGGACCGGGCACAAUGGGACUGAGAUACGGCGCAGACGGCUACGGGAGGCAGCAGUGGGGAGUAUUGCACAGUGGGCGGAAGCCUGAGGCAGCAACGCCGGGUGCGGGAUGACGGCCUUCGGGGUGUAAACCGCUUUCGCCUGUGACGAAGCGUGAGUGACGGUAAUGGGUAAAGAAGCACCGGCUAACUACGUG